rnacentral:tRNA from 1 species
GGAGGUAUGGCUCAAGUGGUAGAGCUCCAGCCUAGUAAGUGUAAGGCUUAAGUUCAAACCCUAAUACUGCCC